rnacentral:sRNA from 1 species
UGGAAGUCUAAUGAGUCCACGUUGAUGA